UGUGUUUUCACGCGCCUUGAGGCCACCGGAGACGCACAGGCCGUCACCUGCUCGGCGUCAAAGGAGCCAGACUCACUCUGUGCUGCCCCACACAUAGAGAAGCAGAAUGAGCGAGUCGGUCUCAAAGUCCAGCCAGCCCCUGGCCUCCAAGCAGGAAAAGGAUGGGACUGAGAAGCGAGGCCGGGGCAGGCCGCGCAAGCAGCCUUCGGUGAGUCCUGGGACGGCGCUGGUAGGGAGUCAGAAGGAGCCCAGUGAAGUGCCAACCCCGAAGAGACCCCGGGGCCGGCCGAAGGGAAGCAAGAACAAGGGCACAGCCAAGACGCGGAAAGUUACCACAACUCCGGGGAGGAAACCAAGGGGCAGACCCAAGAAACUGGAGAAGGAGGAAGAGGAGGGCAUCUCCCAGGAGUCCUCGGAGGAGGAGCAGUGACCACUUGCAGUGCCGCCUGCUCCUUGGCCACUGAGGAGCGGCCUUCCCCUGGGACUGGAAGCCCUGCUCCCAGGCCCCGC
rnacentral:lncRNA from 1 species